UACGUAGGGGGCAAGCGUUGUCCGGAUUUAUUGGGCGUAAAGAGCGUGUAGGCGGCCAGGGAGGUCCGUUGUGAAAACUCGAGGCUCAACCUCGAGACGCCGAUGGAAACCCCCUGGCUAGAGUCCGGAAGAGGAGAGUGGAAUUCCUGGUGUAGCGGUGAAAUGCGCAGAUAUCAGGAAGAACACCCGUGGCUAAGGCGGCUCUCUAGUACGGUACUGACGCUGAGACGCGAAAGCGUGGGGGAGCAAACAGG
rnacentral:rRNA from 1 species